rnacentral:rRNA from 1 species
AAGUCCUACGGGAGGCAGCAGUGGGGAAUAUUGCUCAAUGGGCGAAAGCCUGAUGCAGCGACGCCACGUGAGGGAUGACGGCCUUCGGGUUGUAAACCUCUUUCAGCAGGGAAGAAGCGCAAGUGACGGUACCUGCAGAAGAAGCGCCGGCUAACUACGUGCCAGCAGCCGCGGUAAUACGUAGGGCGCAAGCGUUGUCCGGAAUUAUUGGGCGUAAAGAGCUCGUAGGCGGUCUGUCGCGUCUGGUGUGAAAUCCCAUGGCUCAACUGUGGGCUUGCAUCGGGUACGGGCAGACUAGAGUGCUGUAGGGGAGACUGGAAUUCCUGGUGUAGCGGUGGAAUGCGCAGAUAUCAGGAGGAACACCGAUGGCGAAGGCAGGUCUCUGGGCAGUUACUGACGCUGAGGAGCGAAAGCAUGGGGAGCGAACAGGAUUAGAUACCCUGGUAGUCCAUGCCGUAAACGUUGGGCACUAGGUGUGGGGCGGGUUCCACUCGUUCUGUGCCGCAGCUAACGCAUUAAGUGCCCCGCCUGGGGAGUACGGCCGCAAGGCUAAAACUCAAAGGAAUUGACGGGGGCCCGCACAAGCGGCGGAGCAUGCGGAUUAAUUCGAUGCAACGCGAAGAACCUUACCAAGGCUUGACAUGUACGAGAACGCGUUAGAGAUAACGAACUCUUUGGACACUCGUACACAGGUGGUGCAUGGUUGUCGUCAGCUCGUGUCGUGAGAUGUUGGGUUAAGUCCCGCAACGAGCGCAACCCUUAUCCUAUGUUGCCAGCGGGUCAUGCCGGGGGACUCAUGGGAGACUGCCGGGUUCACCUCGGAGGAAGGUGGGGAUGACGUCAAAUCAUCAUGCCCCCUUAUGUCCUUGGGCUUUCACGCAAUGCUACGAUGGCCGGUAC